GGAAAGUUUUUCGGUUGGGGAUGGGCUCGCGGCCUAUCAGCUUGUUGGUGGGGUAAAGGCCUACCAAGGCGACGACGGGUAGCCGGCCUGAGAGGGCGACCGGCCACACUGGGACUGAGACACGGCCCAGACUCCUACGGGAGGCAGCAGUGGGGAAUAUUGCACAAUGGGGGAAACCCUGAUGCAGCGACGCCGCGUGAGGGAUGACGGCCUUCGGGUUGUAAACCUCUUUCAGUAGGGAAGAAGCCUUUCGGGGUGACGGUACCUGCAGAAGAAGUACCGGCUAACUACGUGCCAGCAGCCGCGGUAAUACGUAGGGUACAAGCGUUGUCCGGAAUUAUUGGGCGUAAAGAGCUCGUAGGCGGUCCGUCGCGUCUGCUGUGGAAACGCAAGGCUCAACCUUGCGCGUGCAGUGGGUACGGGCGGACUAGAGUGCAGUAGGGGAGUCUGGAAUUCCUGGUGUAGCGGUAAAAUGCGCAGAUAUCAGGAGGAACACCGGUGGCGAAGGCGGGACUCUGGGCUGUUACUGACGCUGAGGAGCGAAAGCAUGGGGAGCGAACAGGAUUAGAUACCCUGGUAGUCCAUGCCGUAAACGUUGGGCACUAGGUGUGGGGCUCAUUCCACGAGUUCCGCGCCGCAGCUAACGCAUUAAGUGCCCCGCCUGGGGAGUACGGCCGCAAGGCUAAAACUCAAAGGAAUUGACGGGGGCCCGCACAAGCGGCGGAGCAUGCGGAUUAAUUCGAUGCAACGCGAAGAACCUUACCAAGGCUUGACAUACACCGGAAUGUGCCAGAGAUGGUUCAGCCCUUUGGGCUGGUGUACAGGUGGUGCAUGGUUGUCGUCAGCUCGUGUCGUGAGAUGUUGGGUUAAGUCCCGCAACGAGCGCAACCCUCGUUCUAUGUUGCCAGCACGUGAUGGUGGGAACUCAUAGGAGACUGCCGGGGUCAACUCGGAGGAAGGUGGGGAUGACGUCAAAUCAUCAUGCCCUUUAUGUCUUGGGCUUCACGCAUGCUACAAUGGUCGGUACAAAGGGUUGCGAGACCGUGAGGUGGAGCGAAUCCCAGAAAGCCGAUCUCAGUUCGGAUCGUAGUCUGCAACUCGACUACGUGAAGUCGGAGUCGCUAGAAUCGCAGAUCAG
rnacentral:rRNA from 1 species